rnacentral:ribozyme from 1 species
AAAAGAAAGAAAAGGAGGAAAAAGAAAAAGAGAAGAAAGAAGAAAUGAUAAAAACGACGAAGAACGAAUCGAACUCCUCCUCGAUUUCUCUUCCUAAAGGCUCUUCUACUUUUCCCUUCUCUAU